rnacentral:rRNA from 1 species
AGUGAACGCUGGCGGCGUGCCUAAUACAUGCAAGUCGAACGGAGUGGCGCCCGGGAGAGUAAUAUAUAGCUAAUCUGCCCCUUGCUGGAGGACAACAGUAAGAAAUGACUGCUAAUACUCCAUAGCAAGGGAUGAGACUAUAUCGUAUCAGCUAGUCGGUGGGGUAACGGCCUACCGAGGCUAUGACGCGUAACUGGGCUGAGAGGAUGAGCAGUCAAAGUGGAACUGAGACACGGUCCAAACUCCUACGGGAGGCAGCAGUAGGGUGUAUUGCGCAAUGGGGGAAACCCUGACGGAGCGCUGGCGGGUGGAGUAUGACACUUUUCGGAGAGUAAGCUUCUUUUGUUAGCGAAGCGGUACCUAACGAAUAAGCCCGCGGUAACUCCGGGCCAGCCGCCGCGGUAAUUC